rnacentral:rRNA from 1 species
UACCUGGUUGAUCCUGCCAGUAGUCAUAUGCUUGUCUCAAAGAUUAAGCCAUGCAUGUCCAAGUAUAAAUGAUUUGAUACUGUGAAACUGCGAAUGGCUCAUUAAAUCAGUUAUAGUUUAUUUGAUGAUGUCUUGCUACAUGGGUAACUGUGGUAAUUCUAGAGCUAAUACAUGCAAUGAACUGCCCUGACUUCUGAAAGGGGUACAAUUUAAAUCACUUAACGAGGAAUAAUUGGAGGGCAAGUCUGGUGCCAGCAGCCACAGUAAUUCCAGCUCCAAUAGCAUAUAUUAAAGUUGUUGCAGUUAAAAAGCUCAUAGUUGAACUUUGGGCCUGGACAGAUGGUCUGCCACAAGGCAUUCAUACUGUCCAGCUGGGCCUUUCCUCUUGGUGAACCGACAUGUCCUUCACUGGGUGUGUUGAGGAACCAGGACUUUUACCUUGAGAAAAUUAGAGUGUUCAAAGCAGGCCAUUCGCCUGAAUACAUUAGCAUGGAAUAAUGAAAUAGUACAUGUGGUUCUAUUUCGUUGGUUUCUAGAGUUGCCAUAAUGAUUAAUAGGGAUGGUCGGGGGCAUUAGUAUUUGGUCGCUAGAGGUGAAAUUCUUGGAUCGACCAAAGACUAACUACUGCGAAAGCAUUUGCCAAGGAUGUUUUCAUUAAUCGAGAACGAAGGUUAAGGGAUCAAAAACAAUUAGAUACCAUUGUAGUCUUAACAGUAAACUAUGCUGACCAGGGAUCAUUUGAACUCUUUCUGAUGUGUUGCUCAGCACCUUACGAGAAAUCAAAGUCUUUGGGUUCUGGAGAGAGUAUGGUCGCAAGGCUGAAACUUAAAGGAAUUGACGGAAGGGCACCACCAGGAGUGGAGCCUGCAGCUUAAUUUGACUCAACAUGGGGAAACUCACCAGGUCCAGACAUGACAAGGAUUGACAGAUUGAUAGCUCUUUCAUGAUUUCAUGGGUGGUGGUGCAUGGCCAUUCUUAGUUGGUGGAGUGAUUUGUCUGGUUAAUUCCGAUGACGAAUGAGACCUUAAUCUGCUAAAUAGCCAGGUCGGCUUUGGCUGGACUAAGAAUACCAUGUAACCAGUGGGGGAUGCCUCCUCAUGGCACCACCUGGGUUACGCUAAGAUCCCCC